UCUCCGUUGGUGAACCAGCGGAGGGAUCAUUACUGGAAUCGCAAGAUCCCACAACCCUGUGAACCUACCGAAACGUUUCCUCGGCGGGUGCCCGGCCUCUGCGCCGGGCGCUGCGCCCGCCGGCGGCCCCCUACUCUGUCUCUGCAGCGUGGCAUCUCAGAGUCCCAGAAAACAAGUCAAAACUUUCAACAACGGAUCUCUUGGCUCUA
rnacentral:misc_RNA from 1 species